rnacentral:tRNA from 1 species
GCAGUGAUGGCUCAAUGGUAGAGUUCUUACCUUCCAUGUAGGAGACCUUGGUUCAAUUUCCAGCCAGUGUA